rnacentral:lncRNA from 1 species
CAGCAACAGACUGCAUGUAGGACUGUGGUCUCAUAAGAGUAUCCCGGGUGUGUAGUAGACUACAUCAUCUAGGUUUGUGUACGUAGGCUCUGAUGUUCGCACACCGACGAAGCCGCCUGAAGACGCAGUUAUCAGAAUGCAUCUCCGUCGUUAAGCGACGCGCCACUGUGCAGAAAGCUCAAGUAACUCGCCCCAGGUCCCCCAGCAGGUGGUUGGGAGAAAAGCCCACAUUUAGUUCGCGGAUGCUGUCCUCUUCGUCACCAUUAACCCCACCGAGCAGAGCGGUCACAGCCUCCCUGGGCUCUCCAUGCCUUCCAUGCCAGUGCUCUGAGACAUUCCAGAUCUUCAGUCAAGCUCUUCUCCUCCUCCAUUCUCAGAGCCUGAAGAAGAAUUUCUGCCUGCAGAAAGUCAACUGCUUUUUCCAGCGCAGGGCAGAACCGACCUUGGAGUCCUGGAGAGUUCCAGGGGUCCUGUAAGGCCGCGGCUGUUCACUUCCCUUCAAUAAAUUUUCC